UUUAUGCUUACAGAUCCCAUGGUUUAGUAAUAUUUAUGUCCGAAAACCUAGCCGUUCGUCGUGUCAUUCUAUCGUGUUAUCGUCUGCAUGUGUCGAGAGUUUCGGAGCGACCUUAGUCGUCCAUAUACGUACCGCAGGAACCCAUUAUCUCCACGGUCGGCAAAGUACCGCGAGGAGUUCUACCGAGAGGAGCAGCAGCAGUGGUGGAAGUAAUAGUUGUCGAGGCAGACGGAACCUCGACGGCCGGUGGUGUUAUGACGUCCGGGAGGAUGACAGUUGGUAGCGCCCACGGAACCGUUCAUGAUAACGGCGGGCGGCCGACCACCGGUUGGGAUUAAUAUAAUCUAGUCCCUGCGUCGAACGAUGAGUGGUGAGUAGAAGGAAAAACAUACCCACUUAGCAACUUAUUUGAAUAAGCCUAGUGAACCCAUAUUAUGGAGGAGACAGGCGUUGACUACUUCUCACCGUUGUCUAGGACCACAGGUCAUGGUUAUUUACUUGGAUAUGUAAACACAGGCGUAUAAUGGUCAAACAAUGGACCUGAACAUUAUCAAACGACCAAUAAAACAUUUUGUCGGCAAACCAACUAGACCAAUACAGAAAAGUCCCGAUCGAUGGAACCAAAGUCGGACCCAUCAUACUUGAGACAAGAACCAAAGAAAGUUAGUUAACUUACCUUGGCCCCAUUUGGGUGUAAACGAAUUUUUUUCAACUUAUUUUGCAAAGACCUUUACAAUCCCACCUUACACAAAACCUACGUACAUAUAUACACCAGACGUGAAG
rnacentral:rRNA from 1 species